CCUACGGGAGGCAGCAGUCGAGAAUUUUUCACAAUGGACGAAAGUCUGAUGGAGCGACGCCGCGUGGAGGAUGAAGGUUUUCGGAUUGUAAACUCCUGUCACUGCAGAACAAGGCUAUAUUCGUUAACAGCGAACGUAGUUGAUGGUAUGCGGAGAGGAAGGGACGGCUAACUCUGUGCCAGCAGCCGCGGUAAU
rnacentral:rRNA from 1 species